UGGGGAAUAUUGCACAAUGGGCGCAAGCCUGAUGCAGCCAUGCCGCGUGUAUGAAGAAGGCCUUCGGGUUGUAAAGUACUUUCAGCGAGGAGGAAGGCGUUGUGGUUAAUAACCGCAACGAUUGACGUUACUCGCAGAAGAAGCACCGGCUAACUCCGUGCCAGCAGCCGCGGUAAUACGGAGGGUGCAAGCGUUAAUCGGAAUUACUGGGCGUAAAGCGCACGCAGGCGGUCUGUCAAGUCGGAUGGGAAAUCCCCGGGCUCAACCUGGGAACUGCAUCCGAAACUGGCAGGCUAGAGUCUUGUAGAGGGGGGUAGAAUUCCAGGUGUAGCGGUGAAAUGCGUAGAGAUCUGGAGGAAUACCGGUGGCGAAGGCGGCCCCCUGGACAAAGACUGACGCUCAGGUGCGAAAGCGUGGGGAGCAAACA
rnacentral:rRNA from 1 species